AGAGUUUGAUCAUGGCUCAGAACGAACGCUGGCGGCAGGCCUCAAACAUGCAAGUCUAGCGGGCGUAGCAAUACGUCAGCGGCGGACGGGUGCGUAACACGUGGGGAACGUACCCUUUGGUUCGGAACAACUGAGGGAAACUUCAGCUAAUACCGGAUAAGCCCAGCCACCAAAUGACCUCUUCAAUGUGGAUUGAGUUGGAGAUGUCAUUUGGUGGCUGGGGAAAGAUUUAUCGCCAAAGGAUCGGCCCGCGUUCGAUUAGCUUGUUGGUGAGGUAAUGGCUCACCAAGGCGACGAUCGAUAGCUGGUCUGAGAGGACGAUCAGCCACACUGGGACUGAGACACGGCCCAGACUCCUACGGGAGGCAGCAGUUGGGAAUCUUGGACAAUGGAGGAAACUCUGAUCCAGCCAUGCCGCGUGAGUGAUGAAGGCCUUCGGGUUGUAAAACUCUUUCGACGGGGACGAUAAUGACGGUACCCGUAGAAGAAGCUCCGGCUAACUUCGUGCCAGCAGCCGCGGUAAUACGAAGGGGGCUAGCGUUGUUCGGAAUUACUGGGCGUAAAGCGCGCGCAGGCGGCCGAUCAAGUCAGGGGUGAAAGCCCGGAGCUCAACUCCGGAAUUGCCUUUGAAACUGAUCGGCUCGAGUACGGGAGAGGUGAGUGGAAUUCCCAGUGUAGAGGUGAAAUUCGUAGAUAUUGGGAAGAACACCGGUGGCGAAGGCGGCUCACUGGCCCGUUACUGACGCUCAGGCGCGACAGCGUGGGGAUCAAACAGGAUUAGAUACCCCGGUAGUCC
rnacentral:rRNA from 1 species